AAUAUUUUUGUAAGUGGCUUUGAGUCUAGUUAGAAAAAGGUGUUUGCGAAAAAGGAUGAUGAUGAUGAUGAUGAUGAUUGCAAGAAUGAGAAAAAGGACAAGAGAGCAUGUGAAGAUUGCCUUUCCUUCAAGUAAGCAAAGAGUCCACCAUUUCACCUUUGAAAUCUCCUUGCCCUGCAUGUCCCACUCAACCACUUCAAUCGGUGGACUUGAAUCUCUCUUUUUUUGGAAGAACUGUUUGAAGCUAUUACUACUACCAGUGCUAUUUCCUGGGGUGAUGCAGGGGUAACGCAUACCCCUAAACAUUUUGUGAAUCGAAGUUUGGCCAGAUUAAGAAUAAUCAUUGUGGGAGGUGAGCAUGUGAAAAGUGCCCUUCCUUCAGGUAACCGCAAGGGUCCAGCAAUGUGGUGGGGACAGGUGAGGGGUGAGUCAUUUACCUGAGGGAUACAUCCCCCCUAGCACUGCCUAUGUGGGGCAUUGCAUCCUCCUCAUAAAUGUUUCAUUUGAUUUAAGCUAUCUCCCUCUGUAACAUGAAUACAGCAUACCUGAAUGUUUGUGAUCUUCAGUGGAAACUGCUAUGACUGACAGAAUGCAGGAAUGGCAUUGCAGAGGCACGUGAUUUUGUCAACAUUCUCGUCCACGUCAGCCUAAGUCACAACGUCCCAAAGAAAUUACAAUUAUGCAAUCUGCUUCUCCCUCCCUGCCCUCUCUUGGCAAGUUUGGGGCUCCAUUUGGCUUAAAAGCUGGCUUUGCCACCACAAUUCAUCUUGAGCCAUGAAGAUCCUUCACCUGUGCUUCGCAGUUCUCUCUUUGCUGCUCCUGGCUUCCCCAGGAUCUGCACAGUACCAGGAACCUAGGAAUAAGAGGCAAUGCCAUAAUGCCAAUGGUACUUGCUACCCUUUCGAAUGUCCCAAGAAUUAUAAAAGGAUUGGAAGAUGUAUUUUUGAAUAUCCCUGUUGCAAAAGACGGGAGGAGUAAUAGAUGCCUUUGAAAAGUGGAAGAUGCUCCCUCUCUUUGAGAGCCACUGGAUCCCGCUUGAUCCCCAGCUAUGGACUUCUUCUCCAAAGCAUCAAGAUUGAAAAAAGCAACAUUUUCAAGGCUCACGUGAGCUUGAACCUUGCAAUAAAAGCAGAUCCAAAAGCC